rnacentral:rRNA from 1 species
UACGUAGGGUGCGAGCGUUGUCCGGAAUUAUUGGGCGUAAAGGGCUCGUAGGCGGUCUGUCGCGUCGAAAGUGAAAACUCAGGGCUUAACCCUGAGCCUGCUUCCGAUACGGGCAGACUAGAGGUAUGCAGGGGAGAACGGAAUUCCUGGUGUAGCGGUGAAAUGCGCAGAUAUCAGGAGGAACACCGGUGGCGAAGGCGGGUCUCUGGGCCGAUACUGACGCUGAGGAGCGAAAGCGUGGGGAGCGAACAGG